rnacentral:rRNA from 1 species
CCUACGGGAGGCAGCAGUGGGGAAUUUUGGACAAUGGGCGCAAGCCUGAUCCAGCAAUGCCGCGUGCAGGAUGAAGGCCUUCGGGUUGUAAACUGCUUUUGUACGGAACGAAACGGUUCGCUUUAAUACAGUGGGCUAAUGACGGUACCGUAAGAAUAAGCACCGGCUAACUACGUGCCAGCAGCCGCGGUAAUACGUAGGGUGCGAGCGUUAAUCGGAAUUACUGGGCGUAAAGCGUGCGCAGGCGGUGAUGUAAGACAGAUGUGAAAUCCCCGGGCUCAACCUGGGACCUGCAUUUGUGACUGCAUCGCUAGAGUACGGUAGAGGGGGAUGGAAUUCCGCGUGUAGCAGUGAAAUGCGUAGAUAUGCGGAGGAACACCGAUGGCGAAGGCAAUCCCCUGGACCUGUACUGACGCUCAUGCACGAAAGCGUGGGGAGCAAACAGGAUUAGAUACCCUGGUAGUCCACGCCCUAAACGAUGUCAACUGGUUGUUGGGUCUUCACUGACUCAGUAACGAAGCUAACGCGUGAAGUUGACCGCCUGGGGAGUACGGCCGCAAGGUUGAAACUCAAAUGAAUUGACGG